rnacentral:rRNA from 1 species
UACGUAGGGGGCGAGCGUUGUCCGGAUUUAUUGGGCGUAAAGAGCGUGUAGGCGGCCAGGUAGGUCUGCUGUGAAAACUCGAGGCUCAACCUCGAGACGUCGGCGGAAACCAUCUGGCUAGAGUCCGGAAGAGGAGAGUGGAAUUCCUGGUGUAGCGGUGAAAUGCGUAGAUAUCAGGAGGAACACCUGUGGUGUAGACAGCUUACUGGACCACUUCUGACGCUGAGACACGAAAGCGUGGGUAGCAAACAGG